GAUGAAGAACGUAGCGAAAUGCGAUAAGUAAUGUGAAUUGCAGAAUUCAGUGAAUCAUCGAAUCUUUGAACGCACAUUGCGCCCAUUAGUAUCCUAGUGGGCAUGCCUGUUCGAGCGUCAUUAAGUCCACUUAAGCCCUGCUUAGUGUUGGGAGACUGCUCCAGCGGUGCUACCCUGUAGCUACCCUGCAGCUCCUCAAAGACAGCGGCGGAGUUGUGGUAUCCUCUGAGCUUAGUAACUUGUUCUAGCUUUCGAGUACACCACUUCCCCUGCCGUAAAACCCUUAAUUUUUAAUGGUUGACCUCGGAUCAGGUAGGAAUACCCGCUGAACUUAAGCAUAUCAAUAAGCGGAGGA
rnacentral:misc_RNA from 1 species